rnacentral:rRNA from 1 species
AGCUCCAAUAGCGUAUAUUAAAGUUGUUGCAGUUAAAAAGCUCGUAGUUGGAUUUCUGUUUUAAUUUUCCGGUCCGUCUUGUAAAAGAUGCGUACUAUGGAUAAUUAAAUCAUUUUUUAUAAGGAUUCUCUUCUGGCAUUAAGUUGUUGGGGAUGAAAACUUAUAUCGUUUACUGUGAAAAAAUUAGAGUGUUUCAAGCAGGCGUUUGCUUUCGAAUACAUUAGCAUGGAAUAAUAAGAUAUGACUCGCGUGGUCUAUUUUGUUGGUUUGCACACGCAAGUAAUGAUUAAUAGGGACAGUUGGGGGUAUUCAUAUUUGAGCGUCAGAGGUGAAAUUCUUGGAUCGCUGAAAGAUGAGCUUAGGCGAAAGCAUUUACCAUGGAUGUUUUCAUUAAUCAAGA